GAUGAAGAACGCAGCGAAAUGCGAAAAGUAGUGUGAAUUGCAGAAUUCAGUGAAUCAUCGAAUCUUUGAACGCACAUUGCGCCCGCCAGUAUUCUGGCGGGCAUGCCUGUUCGAGCGUCAUUACAACCCUCAGGCCCCCGGGCCUGGCGUUGGGGAUCGGCGGAAGCCCCCUGCGGGCACAACGCCGUCCCCCAAAUACAGUGGCGGUCCCGCCGCAGCUUCCAUUGCGUAGUAGCUAACACCUCGCAACUGGAGAGCGGCGCGGCCACGCCGUAAAACACCCAACUUCUGAAUGUUGACCUCGAAUCAGGUAGGAAUACCCGCUGAACUUAAGCAUAUCAAUAAGCGGAGGA
rnacentral:misc_RNA from 1 species